rnacentral:rRNA from 1 species
CAGCCGCGCGGUAAUACCGGCGGCCCGAGUGGCGGGCACUAAUAUUGGGCUUAAAGCGUCCGUAGCCGGGUUGGGAAGUCCUCCGGGAAAUCUGGCCGCUUAACGGUCAGAAUGCCGGAGGAUACUCCCAGCCUAGGGAGCGGGAGAGGCCGAGGGGAUUCCCGGGGUAGGGGUGAAAUCCUAUAAUCCCGGGAGGACCACCUGUGGCGAAGGCGCUCGGCUGGAACGCGUCCGACGGUGAGGGACGAAGGCCAGGGGAGCAAACCGGAUUAGAUACCCGGGUAGUCCUGGCUGUAAACGAUGCGGACUUUGUGUCGGACAAGCUAUGAGCUUGUCCGGUGCCGGAGGGAAACCGUUAAGUCCGCCGCCUGGGGAGUACGGCCGCAAGGCUGAAACUUAAAGGAAUUGGCGGG